AAAUACCAUGCCUUUGGGUCGACACAAGAUGAGGGCUGCUCAUGAGGGAGCCUGCACACCUCCUGGGCCCACAGGGUGUGCACAGACCACCUAGGGGUUAUUACCAUCUAGAAGCGCCUACAGUGAACCUCAGACUAGCAACCGUCUAAUCCAUGGGUGGUUUAUCGAUGGAACCUCUUGGCCACAGCUGACCCCACUCAUGUGCAUGGACACUUCGAAAAUCUGUGGGAUCCUGCAGGAGGUCAAGAUUACCUUGUCUUUUUUGCUGCUGAUGCUUUGGUUGGUAAAAUCCCAGUGCUCCACUUUAAGGACUUCCUUUACGUGCUGAGAGAAAAGCCAGCACAUUGCCUUUCUUUCUGACAGCCCACUGCAGUUGAAAUGUGUUUGUUAGGGAUCAAUUUAAUGUGUCCUUUGUCUUUGCAGGAAGUGUUUUCCUGCUGCUGCCUUCCUGAGUGGCCUUGCCUCCUGCAGACUGUGGCACAGCAGAGAUAUUAUUGUCUUCAUUGAAACGAAUGGAUGCCCCUCUGGGAGUCUGGAUAUUAUCAAGAUGAAAAAGGUCUCCUUCUCCUGUGCAUUUUCUCCAGUUGGAGAACUCUGUGAAUCAGUGAGUCUCAGGCCAGAUCAGAGUCACCAAGCUUGCAGAAUGGUCGUCUGGAGCAGACAAGAGGCAGGAGGAACGGCCUGAAGGUGAAGCAAGGGGACACGUCACAGCAGCCACCGAGACCUGCCUCCAGACUGGCCUCUGUCUUCCCUUCCAGUUCUCUUGCCUGGAGAAUCCCAUGGACGGAGGAGCCUGGUGGGCUACAGUCCACGGGGUUGC
rnacentral:lncRNA from 1 species